rfam:Anaerococcus lactolyticus ATCC 51172 genomic scaffold SCAFFOLD6, whole genome shotgun sequence.
AGUCAAGAAAGAAAGGGCGCCAGGUGGAUGCCUUGGCACAUGAAGACGAAGAAGGACGUAAGUGAACGAAAACUAGGGCAAGCUCACAAAAAGCCAUAACCCCUAGGUCUCCGAAUGGGGAAACCCGGCUAGUGAAGAACUAGUCAUCACUAAGUGAAUACAUAGCUUAGUGAGGUAAGACCCUGCGAACUGAAACAUCUAAGUAGCAGGAGGAAAAGAAAGAAAACUCGAUUUUCCUAGUAGCGGCGAGCGAAAAGAAAACAGCCCAACUCAAUAAGGAUCAUCUUUAAGUAGUCAAAUCAUUUGGGAAAAUGAACCAAAGAAAGUGAAAGUCUUGUAGACGAAACUUAAAAAUGGACAGAGUGAAAGUAGCACCGGACACGAGGAAUCCGUUGUGAAGACAGGGGGCCCAUCCCCUAAGGCUAAAUACUAACAUGUGACCGAUAGCGAACAAGUACCGUGAGGGAAAGGUGAAAAGAACCCCGAAAGGGGAGUGAAACAGAACCUGAAACCUAGCGCCUACAAGCAGACAGAGGACAUACAGUCUGAUGUCGUACCUUUUGUAGAAUGGGCCAGCGAGUUAUUCUAAGCGGCAAGAUUAAGUAUCUAAGAUACGGAGUCAAAGCGAAAGCGAGUCUUAAUAGGGCCACAGUCGAUUAGAAUAGACCCGAAACCGGGUGAUCUAUCCAUGGCCAGAGUGAAGGUGAAGUAAAAUUCACUGGAGGCUCGAACCGGGUACGGUUUAAAACGUAUCGGAUGAGUUGUGGAUAGGGGUGAAAAGCCAAACGAACUCGGAUAUAGCUGGUUCUCCUCGAAAUAGCUUUAGGGCUAGCCUUUGACUAAAGAUUUUAGGAGGUAGAGCACUGAAUGGUCUAGGGCGGUUAACCGUACCGAAACCUAUCAAACUCCGAAUGCCAAAAAAUCAGGUCAAGGAGUCAGACUUAGAGGGAUAAGCUUCUAAGUCGAAAGGGAAACAGCCCAGACCGACAGCUAAGGUCCCCAAAUCUGGAUUAAGUGGAAAAGGAUGUGAACCUACUAAGACAACCAGGACGUUGGCUUAGAAGCAGCCAUGCAUUUAAAGAAUGCGUAAUAGCUCACUGGUCAAGUGGGUUUGCGCCGAAAAUGAACGGGGCUAAAAUCCAGUACCGAAGCUUCGGAUUGAUAGAGAAAUUAAAUCUAUCACAUAAAGAAGGACUAAAAAGGAAAGAUAAAAAACUUAACUAGGAAAUAUUGUAACAAUAUCAAGAUAAACGAGUUAUACAAUCAAAAAAAUUACGCAAAUAUCAAAAGUAAAACACUAAGAUAUGGGUAAAAAAACUCAAUUAUCACCGAAACAGCAUACGAAAGUAUGACCUGGUUAAUCAAAGUAUUAUCUAACCAAAAAAAGAACUUUAUGUCUAGAUUUAAAAUCUCUAUCAGUGGUAGAGGAGCGUUGUAUUAGGGAAGAAGCAGAAGCGAAAGCAAAGGUGGACUUAAUACAAGUGAGAAUGCUGGCAUGAGUAGCGAGAAGGAGAGUGAGAAUCUCUCCCGUCGAAACCCUAAGGAUUCCUGAGCAAGGCUCGUCCCCUCAGGGUAAGUCGGGACCUAAGCCAAGGCCGAAAGGCGUAGGCGAUGGACAACAGGUUUAAAUUCCUGUACCGCUUAAAGUCGAUAUUAGAGAUGUGAUGACGCAAGAGGAUAAGCUAAGCUAGCUGAUGGAUGCUAGUCUAAGAGUCAAGGCCAGUGUGUAGGCAAAUCCGCACACUAUUAAGGCUAAGGCUUGAUAGGUAUCGAAAACAUAAGUAGAGAAGUAGCUGAUUUCAAAUUGCCAAGAAAAGUCACUAUCGAGACCAAAGCGCCCGUACCCGAAACCGACACAGGUAGGGAGGUAGAGAAUACCAAGACGCGCGGAAGAACCUUUGUUAAGGAACUCGGCAAAAUGUCCCCGUAACUUCGGGAGAAGGGGAGCCAUAGCGAUAUGGCCACAGAAACCAGGCCCAAGCGACUGUUUACCAAAAACACAAGUUUCUGCAAAAUCGUAAGAUGAAGUAUAGGAGCUGACACCUGCCCGGUGCUGGAAGGUUAAGGAGAAGGCUUAGCGCAAGCGAAGGCUCGAACUUAAGCCCCAGUAAACGGCGGCCGUAACUAUAACGGUCCUAAGGUAGCGAAAUUCCUUGUCGGGUAAGUUCCGACCCGCACGAAAGGUGUAACGAUUUGGGCACUGUCUCAACAAAGGAUCCGGUGAAAUUGUAGUAGUCGUGAAGAUGCGACUUACCCACGCUAGGACGGAAAGACCCCGUGGAGCUUUACUGUAGGCUGAUAUUGGACUUUGAGAUUAGAUAUACAGGAUAGUUGGGAGACUAUGAAGCAUGUACGCCAGUAUGUGCAGAGUCACCCUUGGGAUACCAACUUUCUAAUAUUAAAGUUCUAACAUUGACCCUUGAAUCAGGGCAAUGGACAUUGUCAGUUGGGCAGUUUGACUGGGGCGGUCGCCUCCCAAAAAGUAACGGAGGCGUUCAAAGGUUCGCUCAGAAUGGACGGAAACCAUUCGUAGAGUACAAAGGCAAAAGCGAGCUUAACUGCAAAACCUACAAGUUGCGCAGAGUAGAAAUACGGACUUAGUGAUCCGGUGGCACCGCAUGGAAGGGCCAUCGCUCAACGGAUAAAAGCUACCCCGGGGAUAACAGGCUUAUCUCCCCCAAGAGUCCACAUCGACGGGGAGGUUUGGCACCUCGAUGUCGGCUCGUCUCAUCCUGGGGCUGAAGUAGGUCCCAAGGGUUGGGCUGUUCGCCCAUUAAAGAGGCACGCGAGCUGGGUUCAGAACGUCGUGAGACAGUUCGGUCCCUAUCCAGCGUGGGCGUAAGAAAUUUGAGAGGAUCUGUCCCUAGUACGAGAGGACCGGGAUGGACACACCAAUGGUGUACCAGUUGUAAAGCCAUUUGCAUAGCUGGGUAGCUACGUGUGGAAACGAUAAGUACUGAAAGCAUCUAAGUACGAAACAGACCUCAAGAUAAGAUUUCUCAGAGUACGUAAAGAAAAUACGUUUGAUAGGUCCAAGGUGUAAGUACAGUAAUGUAUUAAGCUAAUGGAUACUAAACUUUAUAUCUUGACUGG